rnacentral:rRNA from 1 species
UGGGGAAUAUUGCACAAUGGGCGCAAGCCUGAUGCAGCCAUGCCGCGUGUAGGAAGAAGGCAUUCGGGUUGGAAAGUACUUUCAGCGGGGAGGAAGGGAGUAAAGUUAAUACCUUUGCUCAUUGACGUUACCCGCAGAAGAAGCACCGGAUAACUCCGUGCAAGCAGCCGCGGUAAUACGGAGGGUGCAAGCGUUAAUCGGAAUUACUGGGCGUAAAGCGCACGCAGGCGGUUUGUUAAGUCAGAUGUGAAAUCCCCGGGCUCAACCUGGGAACUGCAUCUGAUACUGGCAAGCUUGAGUCUCGUAGAGGGGGGUAGAAUUCCAGGUGUAGCGGUGAAAUGCGUAGAGAUCGGGAGGAAUACCGGUGGCGAAGGCGGCCCCCUGGACGAAGACUGACGCUCAGGUGCGAAAGCGUGGGGAGCAAACAGG